rnacentral:lncRNA from 1 species
GAGGGAGUAGUAUUAAAGAACCUUCUCAAAAAGUCGUUAAUCGACUUAUGGUUAACAAUGCGGUUCUUGUUAGAUGUUUUUGCAGCGGUAUUGAAUUUGCAAUAAUUCCGACCUGGUUUACAUGGCGUAACUAACAUAAGCAAAAGAUAUUGUCCAUGCAACAUUUGAGUGAAAAAAAAAUCAAUAUCACAACUAUGCACCUAGUGGACCCAAGAAAACUCAAAUGAAUUUCUUUUUCUCGAAAGAUAAACUCAAAUGAAUUUCAAGGAAAGACAAUUUGCAUAAGCUUGAUAGAUAGAUAAAUAGACGAUGGUCAAAAGACAAGCAGA